GAUGAAGAACGUAGCGAAAUGCGAUAAAUAAUGUGAAUUGCAGAAUUCAGUGAAUCAUCGAGUCUUUGAACGCACAUUGCGCCUUGUGGUAUUCCGCAAGGCAUGCCUGUUUGAGCGUCAGCAAAAACCUCAAGUAGAUGGUCUUUUUUUUUUUUAAAAAAAAAAGCUCUUCUAUCUUGGAUAUUGUCAAGCAAGCAAUAAAAAAAAAGAUUUUUUUUUUUUUUUUUUUUUUUGUUGCUUGGAAAGUUAUAAGAUGGUCAAAAGUUUUUUUUUCUUUUAAUCAGACGUAAUAAGAUCUUUUUAUCUAAUUCGUUUGAAGUGGAAAAAAAAUUUGACCAUUUUUUGAACCCACAAAAAUAUAUUUUUGCUUGACUUGACCUCAGAUCAGGUAGGGAUACCCGCUGAACUUAAGCAUAUCAAUAAGCGGAGGA
rnacentral:misc_RNA from 1 species